GGCGGCAGGGGGCGGUCCUUCGGGCCGGCGGGCGAGGAAAUGGCGGCGCAGGGCCUGCUCGCGCCCCCUCCCCCGUGCGGCGGCAGCGGGAGCGAGCGCACGGGCCCGCCACCGCCGCCGCCGGCGGGCAUGCGCCGCACGGCCGUUGACCCGCGCGUUGCUGGUGUCCCCCGCCCCGAAGGUGAUGGGCUGGGGCCAGGCGCCGGAGUGUGGCACUGGGCCAAGGAUGAUGGGGUUACAGAACACGGUGAGCAUGGGGGGCUCUUCUUGUCUGCCCUGUAGGACUUUUUAUUUAUUCUUCUCAGGAGGUCUCAAGCAUUGCUCACCGCCUCUGAGAGCUGGGAAAUGUGCUUUGCUUCUGAGGCCAAUGAAAGAGAAACAGCCAUCUGAUGAGGUUUAGGUAGCAGUUGCAAGAGAUUAGAUGCUGUUAUGGGUAAUGAAGUGUGAAGAUGACAAGAUAGAUAAAAAGGCUUUUCAGCUUGAUCAUAUCCUCCACUGCAUGAUGUUACAGAUUUUGUACUCCAGACACAAAUGUUACCUUGGAGUUGAAGUUACAGUAGACGAAUCUACAUGAUAGUACAAUGUAUUGGAAGAACUAAUACAUUAAACAGUAAGAGGACAGCAUCCAUCUCUACACCAGCUUGAGCUUUUGCAGAAAGCAGAAAGACUGUUGGUAGCUCACCAGCUGGUUGGCCUCCACUGUCCCCAGAGACUGCGAUGAACCACCCUAAGUGUUGACUGACUGCACUGCACUUGGAAGGCUUGCCACGACUGCCAAUCACAAGAGUUUCUGUCCUGCUUUGCCAGACAAAGAAGAUUAUAGAAGUCUAGCACAGAGAAGAAUCCAUAUACUAGAUCAUCACCAAGGAUGCAGAGUCUUAAUUCAGCCAUUUCUAAUUUACGGAGACUGUGAAUUACAUUGUUGAAGUUUAAUGAAGCUGUGAAAGUAGCCAAAUGCUCGCAGCCGUGCCACAUGUGCUUAUUCUCAGUUCUGUGUGAGCUCCGCAACAUCUGCAGUAGGUAGCAAGGCGAUAAUGAGUUGGAAUGAGAGGUGUUGCAUAGGCAACUACCAAAAUGUAUACAUCUGUCAGGGUAACAGCUCUGUUUUGAAGUUAUCAAAAAGGGGUUUGUUUAAAAACAAACAAGCACAUCAGGCAAACCCUAUCGACUUCCUGAAAGCACCAUGAAACAGCCGAAGUAUCCAUCUGACAUAAAAAAGAAGCUGGCCCAGGCACCAGCUUGCAAGUAAAGCUCAAAACUGUCAAAACUCCAAUAGAAGCACAUGCUGAGGAGAGGAGUGAAGGGGUUUGGGGUUUUACUCUAACAGUGGAGGAAAUGGCACUUUAUCACCUGCUAAUCCUUACAUGUUAAAUAUAGUUUGGCCAAUUUUAAUUUCAAGAAAUGGAUCUGAAAGAAGCUAAUUGAAAGACAGUUGCCACUUAACGUUUCUAUUUUGAAGUUCAUGUGAAGCAGUGAUGCAAAAAAAACAUCACGGGCAGAUCUUUGAUCACAGGAGCAAGAAUUUAGUUGCAUUCACAGACAUCUUAGGGAGCUGAAAAGACUGACCAGGAGAUGGAACAGGAGACAUUAUGAAUGAGCAGCACAAAAAAAAUUAUGUUCCUCAAGGAGAAUUAUCUAAUAGGUAAAAUAUGACUGGGUGCUAAGAGUUUGUUUUAGUAAAUGCAUUUAGAGUUGCUGCAGUUACUCGAAACAAUUUUCAGGAACCAGUUUUCCAUCAAAAAAUGUUAUUUGUCGAAAUCAACCCAUUCCAUAGGGAAAGCUGUGAUUUCAAAAACAUUUUUAAGGAAAAAUGUUCUACUAUUAAAGCACUGUGUGUCACACUUCUGUUUCAAAUUAAGCAGAUGUAGUUGCAGUGUUGGUAUUACAGUAAUUUGUAUUUCCUUUCAUACACUUUAUAUAGAACAUAGAGACAAUUGAAAAGAUACAUACCAGUGCUUCUGACAUAAUUUUUCUUGUAAAAGUCCCGAUCAGGAGUAGAGCAAUUCAAAAUGCUGGUAUUUCUGUGGAAGAGAAGUUCGUGCUCUCCAGCAGCCCUUUACAGAAGGUGAGCAUUUCUCAGACUGCAAGAUCAUGAUCGGUUCUGGCAAGCAAAAUAAAAACGUGAGAAAAAGCAGCGCUGGUCAGCAGCAAGACACUGCUUCCUCGUUAGGCCAAGAAACUGCAGUUGUUGAAUCUAUGUCUUGACAUUAAAACUAUAGAAUACCUUUAAUUAGUGGGAGCAGAUUCAUCCCUCAAGAGUAAGGUUUAAAUUGUGACAAAAAUUGCUGUUUGUUGUCAUUUGCCUUACCGCAACAGUUUCUGCCAACUCAGAGGUAAAGAAAUGAAUCUCAUAAAUGCCAUGGAAAGACUGCAUUUUCUGAAAGCUUGUGGUCGUGUGAUGAGAAGAAAUAAAUUCCUUUUAUGUCAAGCCUUAACACUGUGACUUCUGUGUGAGUCUUCAGUAGCAUUAGUACUUGUCUUGCACUUCUUCUUAACCUAUUCACUUGGUAUAUUGCAUGUCCCUCCUUCAUAGGAAAUAGUAAUUGUGCCUUAUGCAGAGUGCUUCAAAUAUAAUUUCUACAAGCAAUAUUCAGAGUGCAUUUACAGCUGCCUAUCCAGAAAUAUAAAUAUCAACACCAACGAAUUAUUCUUAUUUCUUUGUUUUCUG